AAGAGGUAAAACAUUGUGUUUCUAUAUAGUACUGUAUCUGAAAGAGGUAAAACAUUGUGUUUCUAUAUAGUACUGUAUCUGAAAGAGCAGAUUCUGCAGGUAAAACAUUGUGUUUCUAUAUAAUACUGUAUCUGAAAGAGCAGAUUCUGUAGGUAAAACAUUGUGUUUCUAUAUAGUACUGUAUCUGAAAGAGGUAAAACAUUGUGUUUCUAUAUAAUACUGUAUCUGAAAGAGGUAAAACAUUGUGUUUCUAUAUAGUACUGUAUCUGAAAGAGGUAAAACAUUGUGUUUCUAUAUAGUACUGUAUCUGAAAGAGGUAAAACAUUGUGUUUCUAUAUAAUACUGUAUCUGAUAGAGCAGAUUCUGCAGGUAAAACAUUGUGUUUCUAUAUAAUACUGUAUCUGAAAGAGCAGAUUCUGUAGGUAAAACAUUGUGUUUCUAUAUAGUACUGUAUCUGAAAGAGCAGAUUCUGCAGGUAAAACAUUGUGUUUCUAUAUAGUACUGUAUCUGAAAGAGCAGAUUCUGUAGGUAAAACAUUGUGUUUCUAUAUAAUACUGUAUCUGAAAGAGCAGAUUCUGCAGGUAAAACAUUGUGUUUCUAUAUAGUACUGUAUCUGAAAGAGGUAAAACAUUGUGUUUCUAUAUAGUACUGUAUCUGAAAGAGCAGAUUCUGCAGGUAAAACAUUGUGUUUCUAUAUAGUACUGUAUCUGAAAGAGCAGAUUCUGUAGGUAAAACAUUGUGUUUCUAUAUAAUACUGUAUCUGAAAGAGCAGAUUCUGCAGGUAAAACAUUGUGUUUCUAUAUAGUACUGUAUCUGAAAGAGCAGAUUAUGUAGGUAAAACAUUGUGUUUCUAUAUAGUACUGUAUCUG